rnacentral:rRNA from 1 species
UACGGGGGGAGCAAGCGUUAUCCGGAUUUACUGGGUUUAAAGGGUGUGUAGGCGGGCUUUUAAGUCAGUGGUGAAAUCUCCGGGCUCAACCUGGAAACUGCCAUUGAUACUAUUAGUCUUGAAUUUUGUUGAGGUAGGCGGAAUAAGUCAUGUAGCGGUGAAAUGCAUAGAUAUGACUUAGAACACCAAUUGCGAAGGCAGCUUGCUAAACAAAUAUUGACGCUGAGGCACGAAAGCGUGGGGAUCAAACAGG